rnacentral:rRNA from 1 species
UACGAAGGGGGCUAGCGUUGCUCGGAAUUACUGGGCGUAAAGCGCACGUAGGCUGCUCUUUAAGUCGGGGGUGAAAUCCUGGAGCUCAACUCCAGAACUGCCUUCGAUACUGAAGAGCUUGAGUCCGGGAGAGGUGAGUGGAACUGCGAGUGUAGAGGUGAAAUUCGUAGAUAUUCGCAAGAACACCAGUGGCGAAGGCGGCUCACUGGCCCGGUACUGACGCUGAGGUGCGAAAGCGUGGGGAGCAAACAGG